UACGUAGGGGGCAAGCGUUGUCCGGAUUUAUUGGGCGUAAAGAGCGUGUAGGCGGCCAUACAGGUCAGCUGUGAAACUCGAGGCUCAACCUCGAGACGUCGGUUGAAACCGUAUGGCUAGAGUCCGGAAGAGGAGAGUGGAAUUCCCGGUGUAGCGGUGAAAUGUGCAGAUAUCGGGAAGAACACCCGUGGCGAAGGCGGCUCUCUGGGACGGUACUGACGCUGAGACGCGAAAGCGUGGGGAGCCG
rnacentral:rRNA from 1 species